rnacentral:rRNA from 1 species
UACGAAGGGGGCUAGCGUUGCUCGGAAUCACUGGGCGUAAAGGGUGCGUAGGCGGGUCUUUAAGUCAGGGGUGAAAUUCUGGAGCUCAACUCCAGAACUGCCUUUGAUACUGAAGAUCUUGAGUUCGGGAGAGGUGAGUGGAACUGCGAGUGUAGAGGUGAAAUUCGUAGAUAUUCGCAAGAACACCAGUGGCGAAGGCGGCUCACUGGCCCGAUACUGACGCUGAGGCACGAAAGCGUGGGGAGCAAACAGG